UACGGAGGAUGCAAGCGUUAUCCGGAAUGAUUGGGCGUAAAGCGUCCGCAGGUGGCUAUGUAAGUCUGCUGUUAAAGAGUGAGGCUCAACCUCAUAAAAGCAGUGGAAACUACAUGGCUAGAGUGCGUUCGGGGCAGAGGGAAUUCCUGGUGUAGCGGUGAAAUGCGUAGAUAUCAGGAAGAACACCGGUGGCGAAAGCGCUCUGCUAGGCCGCAACUGACACUGAGGGACGAAAGCUAGGGGAGCGAACAGG
rnacentral:rRNA from 1 species